rnacentral:misc_RNA from 1 species
GCUGGCAAUUGCUCUUGUUCAAGAUUGGGGGAGAAAGCAUCAAUCUUCUUCUCGGCACAGAAAUGGCAACGUCAUCUUCUCUACUGAUGAAUCCACUGACUUCUUCAUUCUUGAAAUCCCCAAAACCGGAGUUGUUAUUGCUCUCCUCCUCUACAUCAGAGCCUAUCUUCAAACAGUGCCUGGUGGGUCCCGCUACAUCCCCGUCUCAUCUGAGUCUCAAAUACAAGAAGGACAAGUAUGGUUCCUCUGCUUCUUCUGUGGUGUGCAAAGCAGUGUCCGUUAAGCCACAGACUGAGGUUGAAGGCCUCAACAUUGCUGAGGAUGUCACUCAGCUUAUUGGAAAAACACCUAUGGUUUACCUAAAUAAAAUUGUAAAGGGGUCUGUUGCUAACAUAGCUGCGAAACUUGAGAUCAUGGAACCAUGUUGCAGUGUGAAAGACAGGAUAGGUUAUAGUAUGAUACUUGAUGCUGAGCAAAGAGGAGUUAUAACACCUGGAAAGAGUAUUCUUGUGGAACCUACGAGUGGAAACACAGGCAUUGGCCUUGCAUUUAUAGCUGCUUCAAAAGGGUAUAAACUUAUCCUGACUAUGCCAGCAUCAAUGAGUCUGGAAAGAAGGGUUCUCUUAAAAGCAUUUGGAGCUGAGCUUGUUCUAACUGAUUCAGCAAAGGGCAUGAAGGGAGCAGUUCAGAAAGCUGAAGAAAUUUUGAAAAGCACACCCAAUGCCUUUAUGCUUCAACAAUUUGAUAAUCCUGCAAAUCCUAAGAUACACUAUGAGACAACUGGACCAGAAAUCUGGGAAGAUACAAGAGGGAAAGUGGAUAUCUUUAUUGCAGGUAUUGGAACUGGUGGAACCAUUUCUGGAGUUGGUCAGUUCCUAAAGGAGAAGAAUCCCAACAUUAAGGUUAUUGGUAUAGAACCUUUGGAAAGCAACAUACUUUCAGGUGGAAAGCCUGGUCCUCACAAGAUUCAAGGGAUUGGAGCUGGUUUUGUGCCCAGGAAUUUGGAUCAAGAUGUCGUUGAUGAAGUCAUAGAGAUAUCCAGUGAUGAAGCUGUUGAAACUGCAAAACAAUU